AGUGAACGCUGGCGGUAGGCCUAACACAUGCAAGUCGAACGGCAGCACAGUAAGUGCUUGCUCUUACGGGUGGCGAGUGGCGGACGGGUGAGGAAUACAUCGGAAUCUACUUUUUCGUGGGGGAUAACGUAGGGAAACUUACGCUAAUACCGCAUACGACCUACGGGUGAAAGCAGGGGAUCUUCGGACCUUGCGCGAUUGAAUGAGCCGAUUUCGGAUUUGCUAGUUGGCGGGGUAAAGGCCCACCAAGGCGACGAUCCGUAGCUUGUCUGAGAGGAUGAUCAGACACACUGGAACUGAGACACGGUCCAGACGCCUACGGGAGGCAGCAGUGGGGAAUAUUGGACAAGGGGCGCAAGCAUGAUCCAGCCAGACCGCGUGGGUGAAGAAGGCCUUCGGGUUGUAAAGCCCUUUUGUUGGGAAAGAAAAGCAGCAGGUUAAUACCCCGCUGUUCUGACGGUACCCAAAGAAUAAGCACCGGCUAACUUCGUG
rnacentral:rRNA from 1 species